AUAUCAAUAAGCGGAGGAAAAGAAACUAACAAGGAUUCCCCUAGUAACUGCGAGUGAAGCGGGAAAAGCUCAAAUUUAAAAUCUGGUGGUCUUUGGCCAUCCGAGUUGUAAUUUAGAGAAGCGUCUUCCGCGCUGGACCGUGCAUAAGUCUCCUGGAAUGGAGCGUCAUAGAGGGAGAUUGCCCCGUGAAAUCGUAGAAUUAUAAGUUCAUUAAGAUCAUGUUCUGGAGAGUAGUGCUCCUUGGGAAUGGAGUAUGAAUUUGGUGGUAAGAUCCAUCAUAAGCUAAAUAUAUACGAGAGACCGAUAGCGCACAAGUA
rnacentral:rRNA from 1 species